GAUGAAGAACGUAGCGAAACGCGAUAAGUAAUGUGAAUUGCAGAAUCCAGUGAAUCAUCGAAUCUUUGAACGCACAUUGCGCCCGCCAGCAUUCUGGCGGGCAUGCCUGUUCGAGCGUCAUUUCAACCCUCGACCUCCCCUUGGGGCGGUCGGCGUUGGGGACCGGCAGCACACCGCCGGCCCUGAAAUGGAGUGGCGGCCCGUCCGCGGCGACCUCUGCGCAGUAAUACAGCUCGCACCGGGACCCCGACGCGGCCACGCCGUAAAACACCCAACUUCUGAACGUUGACCUCGAAUCAGGUAGGACUACCCGCUGAACUUAAGCAUAUCAAUAAGCGGAGGA
rnacentral:misc_RNA from 1 species